rnacentral:tRNA from 1 species
AAGAGUUUAGGUUAAUAAAAGACCUAAGGCCUUCAAAGCCUUAAGUAGAAGUGAAAAUCCUCUAACCCUUG